rnacentral:rRNA from 1 species
UACAGAGGUCUCAAGCGUUUGUUCGGAUUCAUUGGGCGUAAAGGGUGUGUAGGUGGCGCCGUAAGUCGGGUGUGAAAUUUCGGAGCUUAACUCCGAAACUGCAUUCGAUACUGCGGUGCUUGAGGACUUGGAGAGGAGACUGGAAUUCAUGGUGUAGCGGUGAAAUGCGCAGAUAUCAGGAAGAACACCCCGUGGCUAAAGGCGGUUCUCUAGUACGGUACUGACGCUGAGACGCGAAAGC